rnacentral:lncRNA from 1 species
AAACUUAUUUGACAAAAAAAAUAAAUUUUCUCAAAAAAAAAAAAAAAUCUCAAAUAAUAAAACCAAAACUUCUGAAUCAAGUAGCGGGAUUCACCUUCUAGAAAGAAACUCCACGUUAUGCAUUCCUUCUCCUUCUUCUUCUUCCAUCAUCACUCUAUUAAUUACUAAAACUGCCAUCAUCAUCCAUCCAUGUGCUCUCAACCACUUGCUCCUAUAUAUACGGCUUCUUCCACAACAAGACAAAAAAAAAAAUUAAAACUCCAUUAAAGCUUAAACACACCAAAACCUCUCUCUCUCUUUUCAUCUGUCAACUGUAAAAUGGAGAGAGACGAUGAUUGCAACGCUUACACGGCGUCGUUUUCGCCUAGCUUCAGUACUUAUUCAGGUGAUCGUCUUUCAGAGAUCGCCGAACGAGUUUGUUACAGAGAGAAAUCAGACGAAGAAUUCGAGUUUUCCAUAACCGCACCGCCGCCGCCUA